UCUGCCCUUGAGGCGUGGCUUCCGGAGCUAACGCGUUAAGUCGACCGCCUGGGGAGUACGGCCGCAAGGUUAAAACUCAAAUGAAUUGACGGGGGCCCGCACAAGCGGUGGAGCAUGUGGUUUAAUUCGAUGCAACGCGAAGAACCUUACCUACUCUUGACAUCCAGAGAACUUUCCAGAGAUGGAUUGGUGCCUUCGGGAACUCUGAGACAGGUGCUGCAUGGCUGUCGUCAGCUCGUGUUGUGAAAUGUUGGGUUAAGUCCCGCAACGAGCGCAACCCUUAUCCUUUGUUGCCAGCGGUUAGGCCGGGAACUCAAAGGAGACUGCCAGUGAUAAACUGGAGGAAGGUGGGGAUGACGUCAAGUCAUCAUGGCCCUUACGAGUAGGGCUACACACGUGCUACAAUGGCGCAUACAAAGAGAAGCGACCUCGCGAGAGCAAGCGGACCUCAUAAAGUGCGUCGUAGUCCGGAUUGGAGUCUGCAACUCGACUCCAUGAAGUCGGAAUCGCUAGUAAUCGUAGAUCAGAAUGCUACGGUGAAUACGUUCCCGGGCCUUGUACACACCGCCCGUCACACCAUGGGAGUGGGUUGCAAAAGAAGUAGGUAGCUUAACCUUCGGGAGGGCGCUUACCACUUUGUGAUUCAUGACUG
rnacentral:rRNA from 1 species